rnacentral:rRNA from 1 species
UCUGGUCUUGGGACACUGUCAGGUGGGCAGUUUGACUGGGGCGGUCGCCUCCCAAAAGGUAACGGAGGCGCUCAAAGGUUCUCUCAGUACGGUCGGAAAUCGUACGUAGAGUGUAAAGGCAAAAGAGAGCUUGAUUGCAAGACAUACAGGUCGAGCAAGGAUGAAAAUCGGACUUAGUGAUCCGGUGGUUCUGCGUGGAAGGGCCAUCGCUCAACGGAUAAAAGCUACCCUGGGGAUAACAGGCUUAGCUCCCCCAAGAGUCCACAUCGACGGGGAGGUUUGGCACCUCGAUGUCGGCUCAUCACAUCCUGGGGCUGUAGUAGGUCCCAAGGGUUGGGCUGUUCGCCCAUUAAAGUGGUACGCGAGCUGGGUUCAGAACGUCGUGAGACAGUUCGGUCCCUAUCCGUCGCAGGCGUAGGAAAUUUGAGAAGACCUGUCCUUAGUACGAGAGGACCGGGAUGGACGUACCUCUGGUGUACCAGUUGU